AACAGUAGAACGAGUUAGAAAGGA
rnacentral:miRNA from 1 species